rnacentral:rRNA from 1 species
AUGUGGAGCCGUAGCGAAAGCGAGUCUGAAUAGGGCGUUGAGUAUUUGGUCGUAGACCGAAACCAGGUGAUCUACCCAUGGUCAGGUUGAAGUUCAGGUAACACUGAAUGGAGGACCGAACCGACUUACGUUGAAAAGUGAGCGGAUGAACUGUGGGUAGCGGAGAAAUUCCAAUCGAACUUGGAGAUAGCUGGUUCUCUCCGAAAUAGCUUUAGGGCUAGCCUCAAGUGAUGAUUAUUGGAGGUAGAGCACUGUUUGGACGAGGGGCCCCUCUCGGGUUACCGAAUUCAGACAAACUCCGAAUGCCAAUUAAUUUAACUUGGGAGUCAGAACAUGGGUGAUAAGGUCCGUGUUCGAAAGGGAAACA